AUGGAAGACGGUGGGGUUCCCAUUACGAGAGGAGUUCGCGGACAACCUCGAGCACCCAGAUCCGGUUCCCCCGGUCUUGUUGCCAAACAGCGGAGCCGGCCUUGCCGUUCCCGCGGACCUCAAAUACUAGAUCUGGUUGCGCUCAACAGCUCGGCGGCGAUGGGAAUGAUAUGGCAGGAGUUCGAGUCCGCCGUCUCGCGGAUGCAUCACCGACGAGGUCGGCUCAGUCUACUGACAGAGUCAAUCCAGAGGCACCUGGGAGGACAAAAAGGUUAUGGCUCGGCAGUGAGCCAACAGAUGACGAUGGACUCUAAAGUCAUGGGCUAUGGAGUUGGAUUGGCUAAAGAAGUUCAUGUUCCCGGUGCAUUUCAUGGAUUGCUGGUCUUUAUAUAUCCUGGAUACCGAUAA
rnacentral:rRNA from 1 species